ensembl:lncRNA
AUCAUUUUACAGGAGAAUUGGAAACUACAGGCUCUUUUUACACCAUUUCUUUGAAAGCAGUGCUGAUUUGUAACCAGAUUCACCAUCUGACCAUGCAAUUCACUACAGGGGGUGACAUUAGGACCAGAUUUUGGGUAAGCCAGCUGCUGCAAACAGCAGGAAAAUGUCUGGUACCCGCUGCACCGUAAAGUGCACCCAAAGGUUCCCUUAUCUGCACUGACAGCAGAUCCACCCCAGUAGCACAUGCCAGACCAUUUUCAUAUUUCUUGCCUGUAUUUGCAGUGACAACAUGGGACCAAUAGAGUGUGUACAAGAGAACCUACAGUUAUUCCUAGGAGGGACCGAUUUAGCAUUUGCAUGUGAAGGUGGUUGCUUGUAAGGACAAGGUAGUUACCUGGAAGCAGGUCUCCAGAAGUUGAGUAUGUCAGAACGUUGCUGUGACCAUGCAGCUCAGGUUUGGUGAUGGACACCAUCACCAGGACUCAGCAACCUGCUCUGUAUCACACAGGGAAUAUGAGAUAAAGUAGAAAACUAAAUUCUCUAUUUCUACACCCUGGAAUAGUAUCAUAAAUCUUGUGCCUUUGUGCUAUGAAAUAGUUAUACUUGCCAGUCACAUAGUACUAUCUAUAUUUAAAAAGUAAUAUGAAGAUUAACUAGUCAGUGUUCACACAGUUCUUAGAAGGCAGGAAAUGAUUAUUCUAAAUAUUCAGGUCUUAACCCUGAACCCGAAGGCUGCAGCAUUUAAGUAAUGCGGAUUAUAGGUUUGAGUCUUCUGUUCAACUUUGAAUUCAGGACGUAGCAUCACAGAAGAUCAAAUCUUUGCAAGCUCUAUCCAGAUGACUCGGUAGGCUAUUUUGCCAUCUUGUCCUAUAAUUAGCUGCAGCAAGUGGCAAGACCUCGAAUAUUUUCCUAACUGCUACCAACUCAGGCACUGCAUAGGACGAUGAUACAGAGGAUCGGCAACAGGAUCCUAACCUUCUUCUGCAAGCACUGUCUACCUCCUUAGAAGAUGGGCUGUGCCACAUGCAGACGAAUGAGCACCGGAGUAACCUGGUCUGGCUAGUUGAAACCAGUCCAGCUGUGGCCUAAGGUUACAUCCAGAUGGACUAAUGCAAGUGAGAAGAGAUACGCAGAGGACAGUGAUGCUGUAACUUGUUUGAUUACGAUCCUUCUUCAUGGUUGCACUGAAUCUCAUCUUGUGAUCUGCCGACUUCAGAGAGGUGAUGAUUCAGGCAAGAAGAAGUCCUGGAGACAUUCAAGAUCAGGCUGGACAUUGCUCUGAACACCCUGACUGAGCUUGAAAUGAAGGUCCAAACAAAAACUUCAGAGAUAAAUCAGUAGUACCCCAGGAGGAGACUUCAUCUCUUGCUUGUCACCAAGGACCUUUGCUGCCGGGCUGCUGCAUCCUGACUCUCUGUGCUUCCUCUCCUCCUAAUCUGUCAGUCUUGACUUGAAAGAUUGCCUGGCUUUGGCAAGACAGAAUGGCUACAGGAAACACAGUGCACUAAUUGGUCUAUCACAGCCUCAUCUAUAUCAGUUUGUAUUUGCUCUACUGUCUGCUGACUGUUUGGAUACAUCUCACAAAAUGCUACAAGAUGUUCUGCUCUCUAAGAAGCGUACACUGUGCUUGGAUUCAAACAAUUUGAUUUUCUUGAGACAAGAAAAAACACUAAGUGUCACAAGUAACUGCAACAGCACUGCAGAAUACGUCUAACCUUAGAGUAACUAGAAGGCUGCAUUCUCCAAUGAACAAAAAAUCCACCUAAAUAAAGGAAAAACCCUGAGAUUCAUGGUUGAUGUUCCUGUGGCUAGUCCUGUUUUUCCACCCAUCUUUCCAUCUGCCUGAGGCUGGCCUCUCCAUUGCACUCACUCACUGGUUUAUGUGGAAGAGUUCCUUGAAAAGACCUGGUUUAAGGAAAUAGAAAAAGACACAUUGCCACUUUUUGCAAAGAAAAAUCAAAAGCACAGGGUGACAAUGUCAUUUUCAAGAUAAAUGGGCUUUGGAAAUGCACUUUUCCUAAAUAAUUGAAAACGGAGCUACACAUUAAAAAAGCAUUUGCUUUUCAAUGUUCUCUUAUACAAAAGAAAUUGUCUGACAGAAUGACUGUAGGCCUGCAUUUAAUAGAAGUAAGUACCUUUCUGAUCUCUCCCUGUGAGUGACUCCCUUCUAUCAGACUCUCUGGGACAGUGCUAUGCUAUAUUCUUCCAGUUCUUCCAAAACAGAAAGACCAGAAUUCUUUAAUUCAUCCAAAAAUUGUAUUUAAAACAGAAUCUCUUAAUAAAGGUUAGAAAAAUAUGUUUCCAGAAUCAUUUUCUUAUUUAUGGAAGUGAAAAGUGAAGAGGUUUUAAGGAUGUUUUCUUUAUUAACUAUUACAAGCAUUAAUCUUUUA